AAUGAACGUUGGCGGCGUGGAUUAGGCAUGCAAGUCGAGCGAGAAACCAAUUAGCUUGCUAUGAGGUGGACAGCGGCGAAAGGGAGAGUAACGCGUGGUUACGUGCCCUCGGGACCGGGAUAGUGUCGGGAAACUGGCAGUAAUACCGGAUGAUAUCUUCGGAUCAAAUGGUGAGAUUCCGCCCGAGGAUCGGACCGCGUACUAUUAGCUUGUUGGCGGGGUAAUGGCCCACCAAGGCUGCGAUGGUUACCGGGUGUGAGAGCAUGGCCCGGCUCACUGGGACUGAGACACUGCCCAGACAUCUACGGAUGGCUGCAGUCGAGAAUCUUCGGCAAUGGACGAAAGUCUGACCGAGCGACGCCGCGUGCGGGAUGAAGGCCCUCGGGUUGUAAACCGCUGUCAGUUGGGAGGAAAUCCAUGGGGGUUCUCCCCUGUGGUUGACCGAGCUUCAGAGGAAGGACGGGCUAAGUUCGUG
rnacentral:rRNA from 1 species